CUUGUUUAGGGUCAGAUCAGAUACCUUUUUUAGAACAAGUAGUACCCUUAUUCAUGAGAGUCCUUAAGACUGCAGUAGGAACUAAUAGCACUGUGCAGUGUUCCUUCGAACUAACCAUAUCCUGGUUAUUUAAAAGCAAAAGGGUCACCUAUACAAGAUGUUUCCAUUAUGUAUUGCAAGUCUGCAAUUACCAAGGGCAGUCUGGACAUCCAAAGCAGUGUCACUGAAAUGACAAGGAGGUAGCAUGAGCUGAGCAAACUUUUCCAGGAUCCUGGACAUGGGUGACUCUGCUUUGGUUUGCUGCUCAUGGCGAGGAGUUCUGCAAAGCACAGAUGUGGCUGGCAAAGUGGGGAACAAAGCUUGGGUAGAGGAGAUAACACAGCAGCCUUUCAGUUGUCCUGAAGGAACCAGUUAUGGCCUGACUGUGUGUCAGUGGGGUGCCUGCUGUAGUCUGCCUGGCACUGCAGGUAUCCACCAGCAAUCUUCACUGCUUCCCAAAGCUGCUGCUGUGAUGUUAAAUACAUUGGUUUCUGACUUGGCAAUGUCUUAACUUCCCAAAGUGAAAAACAGUGCAUAUUCCCAGUGUGUCUUCAAUUCAAGCAGGCCAUAAGGAACAUCUCUGUAGCCCAGUAGUGGGAUCUUCCAUAGGAAGCACAGCCCUUUAGCAC
rnacentral:lncRNA from 1 species